GUCUUAACGGCUAGUGUCUUGGCAAUCCUCCUUGGGCUUCAGCUUUUGCAAAUAACAGUGGUUUCUCUGAUUAGUUUGGUAUUUGCCGCCAUAUGAUCACGUCAAAAUGUACAAUUCUGCAAGAAUUGAGGUCUAUGUUGCUCAGACUUGGCAAUUUUUCUGCCUCACUCGCAUCAAUGCAAUACAACAAGGAUAUGGGUUGGAAAUUCAAAACCGAUACUUGACCUUACUAUUGGAGACUUCAUGCUGCAAUGAAUGGGAAUUGAACACGAAAGAGUAGGUGAGAUGACAAAGAGCAGUGCGAUCCAAGUAUCUAGCUAUACGGAUCUACUUUUCAGUAGAUGGGGUCAGGCGAGCAUUUGACAAAUCUGGACUCUCUAUCUCAAGGAAGCUUGUGAGCAAGGUUUUUCUUGAAGAUUGUGUUUUUCCACUACCUGAAGAGAAAUUCUG